CUCACAACUAGCACGACAAAGGACCUGCUGCUAAUGUCGUCAUGCCAGAUACCACAUGACAUGUUCAGAGGUCUGGUGGAGUCCAUGCCUCAACGCAUCAGAGCUGUUUUGGCAAAAUUAUGCAGGUGGUUUCAAUGUUGUGGCAAAUCAGUGUAUAAUGUUAACUCCACCACGCUUUACCCUGGGAAUGGUGUUCUCAGG